rnacentral:lncRNA from 1 species
AUCCCCAGGCCGCCCCUCGCCUUCCCAGGCCGGAAGUGCCGGCCGCGCCGGAGGCUGUGCGUUGGGUUUCGCGCCCGGCUUGUGCUGUCGAAUUCCGGGGCUCCACUUUCCGGGAGCCAGACUCUCCCAAAUGCGGAGAAGGCUGAUGGGCUGGUGCUGCUGGUUCCUCCGGCAGGCGGUGAAGUAGAGGCGCCUUUCCCACAGCGGUCUUACCACCGUGUGGACCUUCGGGUGGAGGACUCCCGGCGUCUCCGGCAUGGCAACCUCCCGCGCGGCGGGCUGCUUUCGGGUGUUCGGUCUGCUCGUUGGGGAGUCGGUCCGACUCAGGGCUGGGGCUCCGGUCCGGCUCGGUUGUCCCCACCCCACUCCGCCCCCCCCUUUUUUUCUUGAACUAUUUUCCUUUCAAACGCGAUACCCAAAUUCAACCAAAGCAAACUCUGCCUACCUCUACGUACGUGUUCCAAGAAAAUAAUGAGCAAACUUGAAAUGCAUCCGAGAAAGAAGGAAAAAGGUAUAAAAAGGAAGUGGUGUGUGAGCUAAAAAUGGAGAUAAGGAAAGAAAAUUGGGCUGACCUGCCCUGGGAGCUGACUUGAAGGAAAACAGGAUGUCAACCUUACUUUGACUGGAUUGCCUUUUUAAAUUCUGGAGCUUUGAUGAUCUACAAAACUGACCGCUCUGCUACUAUCUGCCGACAAGGUGUUCCUUCCGAGAGCCUCAAGAAUGGAUGUUAGAUGCUAAGAAUCAAAAGAAACAAUACCCCGAGGCAACUGUUGAUGAGGCCGCAAAGCGUAAAGACAAAUGUUUCCCACCGUUUCUUGAAAAGGUUUUAACUGAUGAUUAGGAAAUGCGGGUCAAAAGGCCAAUGGAAUUGAUAAAAAAGUGGUAAAUCCCUUACUAAAGUGAUUUGAGAGACAAAUCCUAUAUUAAAUCUUGAGAUUUUUGAGUUUCUAUUAUCACCUAUUUUCAUCCUGCUCUUGCUAUCUGUCAUAAAUACUAUAAGUUGUGGAGAACACGGUGAUUCAGAAAAGGAGAGUGAAUGAGGAAAUGACUCAUCUAGAAAAGUAAAACGGAAAGGCUUAAGUGCUCACUUUUCUUCUGGGCAAAAAAAAAUAUAUAUAUAUUUCCUUUAUGCUAAUACAGCAAUUGUAUUUGAUGGUAUGUCUUGAAUUUCUUGUAAUGAAAAACAGCUCCCCUUCCUCUUUUGCAUGCCCUUGACCUGCUGAAGUAAUUUGUCAAGUAAGAUUCCUUAUGCUAUGGAUUUGUGUGAUGGAUUCCUUGAUCUGGCACUUAGCAUCUUGAAACUUGAGUUUAUUUUUUUUUAACUAGAAAAUCUCAAAUGUUGGGCAGAUACUCUCACAGUAGACUUAAAGUAAAAAACACAACAGCCAUUAUGUGAAACUGCUCAAUGGUUUAAAAGAAGGUAACCGUUCUCAGAAAUUGGAUCAUAUGAUUCUUCAUUUGACAACUCCUGCAAAAGGAAGUGUCUUAAAAUUUAAUUAUGAUUUAUAUAUUAAUGAGGAUAAGUCUCCUAAUAACUUAUUUUUUUUGGAAAAAAUGGCAGAAAAUCUUAAAAAUACAGUGGACAAAAAUAAAAGUGUUGUAUACUUCCAGUAAUAAUUUGUAACAAAAACCUGGCAGGUGAAAUAUGGACAAUUUUUUUUAAAAAAUAUCAUCAAAAGGGCUGGGGAUGUGGCUCAAGCGGUAGCAUGCUCUCCUGGCAUGUGUGCGGCCCGGGUUCCAUCCUCAGCACCACAUACAAAGAAAGAUGUUGUGUCCGCCGAAAACUAAAAAAUAAUAUUUAUUUUUUAAGAUUCCCUCUCUCUCUCUCUCUCUCUCUCUCUCUCUCUCUCUCUCUCUCUCUCGCUUUCCCCCUCUCUCAUAAAAAAAAGAAUAUUUCUUUUAAAAAAUAUCAAAAGACAAAAAGAUAAUACAAUAUUAGCUGGCCGACAUUCAGAAAAUGUUGGGGGAGUCAUGCAUUUGGGGCCACUUCUUUUUGUUUUCCCUAUUACACAUCCAUCUUCCUUCACAAUUGCCUGCCCUGUAUAUUUCAAGCUCCUCUGUGUCACGUGAUGACUACAAACAGCUUUAUAGAGAUGCUUUAUCAGCUCCCAAGAAAGUAAAAUGUCUAUCUACAGCAGUGUAAGAAAAAAAUGUGUGAGAACAGUAGCACAAUAGAUGAGAGAAAUUGGAAGUAUAAUGUUAUAAAAUAUACUUACAGGAAGCUGAUCAAUUAAAAGAGGAUAUUGCAAAGCUUGAGGAAACCACCAAAAGUUAAAAAUAAGUAAUGAACCAAUAUUAGAGUUAAAGUGGAACCAUAAAAUAAUCAACCUAAAAGAAAUCUGAAAUGCAGAAAAAGAAAAUGCACAUAGGCCAAAUGGGAAAUAAUAGCUACGUGGCAGACUGUAUUCCAAUAAUAUUAAUAAUUACAUUAAGUAUAAAUGGCCUAGGCAUACCAAUUUAUAUUUUUUAAAAAAGUGCAGCAUCCUUAUGCUCAAGAGAUUUCAUAUAAGUUUUCUAUAUGAAAUUCACUUUAAACAGAGUAAAGGUAAGAAAGUAGAAAAGGACAUACUACACAAGAAGUAGAAUUAAUUAAGAGUGGCUAUUUUAGUAUUACACAGUAGACUUCUGAACAAGGAAUAUUACAGAGUAUCAGUGGCUGGUGUUGUGGCUCAGUGGUAGAGCGCUUGCCUGGCAAAUAAAAAAAAAUCCCUUCAGUAAAGAAGAACACAGCUUGAAAAGUGAAAAGAAAAUGAGGAACAGGUUAAAAAGGGGAAGAUAUGUGUGGGUUAGAAAUGGAGAACUUGAAAACUCAAUCCAACUUUCACUGGAUUUUCUACUUAAUUCAAUAGGUAUUGGAUGCUUCUAGAACUCUUUGUUUUUGGUUGUGGGGAUGAAACCCAGGGUGCUUAACCACUGAGCCACAUCCUCAGCCCUUUUUAGAGACAGGGCCUUGCUAAGUUGCUGAGGCUGGCUUUGAACUCUUGAUCCUCCCGCCUCAGCCUCCCAAGCCACUGGGAUUACAGGUGUGCACCACUGCUCCCAUACAGAACCCUUGACAGUAUUACCUGGCAUCCAUUCCAAAUGCAUGAAUCCACAAAAAAGCAUCUCAAGCUUUAAGGGUUUCUUUGUUGUUUUUGUUAGUUAUAGAUGGACAUGAUACCUUUAUUUUGCUUAUUUAUUUAUAUGUGGUGCUGAGGAUCAAACAUGGUAGGCAAGGGCUCUACCACUGAGCCACAACCCUGGGCACCCCCAUCCUGAACUUUAAGUUAUAAAGCAGAAUCAUCAAAAGCUUUCAGCUGUUCCUUGACUUGAAUUUCUUCUUAUGAACUAUAGGUCACCAGGCCUCUGAAAGGAACUGUGUUAAUGUCAAGGAAUUAUUAUAUGUAAAAAAGAUAAAUAUAUAAAACUCUGAAAUCAUUUUGUUCAAGUAUUCUAUCACCUAGUACCCUCUUCUUGGUAUCAGAAAAACAACUAAGUGUUUUAGGAAUAUGGAAAGCAGUGAGACCAGGAUUUUUAUCAGGUGAUUUGGUGAAGGUUG